GCUGGGAUAGCUCUGUCGGUCGAGCAUGAGACUCUUAACCUCAGGGUUGUGGUUUUGAGCCCCACGUCAGGUA